rnacentral:rRNA from 1 species
UACGGGGGGGGCAAGCGUUGUUCGGAAUUACUGGGCGUAAAGGGUUCGUAGGUGGCCAACUAAGUCAGACGUGAAAUCCCUCAGCUUAACUGGGGAACUGCGUCUGAUACUGGUUGGCUUGAGUGCAGGAGAGGAACGCGGAAUUCCAGGUGUAGCGGUGAAAUGCGUAGAUAUCUGGAGGAAGACCAGUGGCGAAGGCGGGUCUCUGGGACGGUACUGACGCUGAGACGCGAAAGCGUGGGGAGCGAACGAGG